rnacentral:rRNA from 1 species
CCUACGGGUGGCAGCAGUGGGGAAUAUUGGACAAUGGGGGCAACCCUGAUCCAGCCAUGCCGCGUGUGUGAAGAAGGCCCUCGGGUUGUAAAGCACUUUCAGUGAGGAAGAACGCCUGGUGGUUAAUACCCAUCAGGAAAGACAUCACUCACAGAAGAAGCACCGGCUAACUCCGUGCCAGCAGCCGCGGUAAUACGGAGGGUGCGAGCGUUAAUCGGAAUUACUGGGCGUAAAGCGCGCGUAGGUGGCUUGAUAAGCCGGUUGUGAAAGCCCCGGGCUCAACCUGGGAACGGCAUCCGGAACUGUCAAGCUAGAGUGCAGGAGAGGAAGGUAGAAUUCCCGGUGUAGCGGUGAAAUGCGUAGAGAUCGGGAGGAAUACCAGUGGCGAAGGCGGCCUUCUGGACUGACACUGACACUGAGGUGCGAAAGCGUGGAUAGCAAACAGGAUUAGAUACCCUUGUAGUC